UACGGAGGGUGCGAGCGUUGUCCGGAAUCACUGGGCGUAAAGGGCGCGUAGGCGGCGCGGGCAGUCAACGGUGAAAGCUUGGGGCUCAACCCCGAGUCGGCCGUCGAUACUCCCGUGCUUGAGCACUGUAGAGGCAGGUGGAAUUCCGGGUGUAGCGGUGGAAUGCGUAGAGAUCCGGAGGAACACCAGCGGCGAAGGCGGCGUCCUGGACUGGGCCUGACGCUCAGGAGCGAAAGCGUGGGGAGCGAUCCGG
rnacentral:rRNA from 1 species